rnacentral:rRNA from 1 species
CAGUACCGUGAGGGAAAGGUGAAAAGCACCCCGGAAGGGGAGUGAAAUAGAACCUGAAACCGUGUGCUUACAAGUAGUCAGAGCCCGUUAAUGGGUGAUGGCGUGCCUUUUGUAGAAUGAACCGGCGAGUUACGAUUUGAUGCAAGGUUAAGCAGUAAAUGUGGAGCCGUAGCGAAAGCGAGUCUGAAUAGGGCGUUUAGUAUUUGGUCGUAGACCCGAAACCAGGUGAUCUACCCUUGGUCAGGUUGAAGUUCAGGUAACACUGAAUGGAGGACCGAACCGACUUACGUUGAAAAGUGAGCGGAUGAACUGAGGGUAGCGGAGAAAUUCCAAUCGAACCUGGAGAUAGCUGGUUCUCUCCGAAAUAGCUUUAGGGCUAGCCUCAAGUGAUGAUUAUUGGAGGUAGAGCACUGUUUGGACGAGGGGCCCCUCUCGGGUUACCGAAUUCAGACAAACUCCGAAUGCCAAUUAAUUUAACUUGGGAGUCAGAACAUGGGUGAUAAGGUCCGUGUUCGAAAGGGAAACAGCCCAGACCACCAGCUAAGGUCCCAAAAUAUAUGUUAAGUGGAAAAGGAUGUGGCGUUGCCCAGACAACUAGGAUGUUGGCUUAGAAGCAGCCAUCAUUUAAAGAGUGCGUAAUAGCUCACUAGUCGAGUGACACUGCGCCGAAAAUGUACCGGGGCUAAACAUAUUACCGAAGCUGUGGAUUGUCCUUUGGACAAUGGUAGGAGAGCGUUCUAAGGGCGUUGAAGCAUGAUCGUAAGGACAUGUGGAGCGCUUAGAAGUGAGAAUGCCGGUGUGAGUAGCGAAAGACGGGUGAGAAUCCCGUCCACCGAUUGACUAAGGUUUCCAGAGGAAGGCUCGUCCGCUCUGGGUUAGUCGGGUCCUAAGCUGAGGCCGACAGGCGUAGGCGAUGGAUAACAGGUUGAUAUUCCUGUACCACCUAUAAUCGUUUUAAUCGAUGGGGGGACGCAGUAGGAUAGGCGAAGCGUGCGAUUGGAUUGCACGUCUAAGCAGUAAGGCUGAGUAUUAGGCAAAUCCGGUACUCAUUAAGGCUGAGCUGUGAUGGGGAGAAGACAUUGUGUCUUCGAGUCGUUGAUUUCACACUGCCGAGAAAAGCCUCUAGAUAGAAAAUAGGUGCCCGUACCGCAAACCGACACAGGUAGUCAAGAUGAGAAUUCUAAGGUGAGCGAGCGAACUCUCGUUAAGGAACUCGGCAAAAUGACCCCGUAACUUCGGGAGAAGGGGUGCUCUUUAGGGUUAACGCCCAGAAGAGCCGCAGUGAAUAGGCCCAAGCGACUGUUUAUCAAAAACACAGGUCUCUGCUAAACCGUAAGGUGAUGUAUAGGGGCUGACGCCUGCCCGGUGCUGGAAGGUUAAGAGGAGUGGUUAGCUUCUGCGAAGCUACGAAUCGAAGCCCCAGUAAACGGCGGCCGUAACUAUAACGGUCCUAAGGUAGCGAAAUUCCUUGUCGGGUAAGUUCCGACCCGCACGAAAGGCGUAACGAUUUGGGCACUGUCUCAACGAGAGACUCGGUGAAAUCAUAGUACCUGUGAAGAUGCAGGUUACCCGCGACAGGACGGAAAGACCCCGUGGAGCUUUACUGUAGCCUGAUAUUGAAAUUCGGCACAGCUUGUACAGGAUAGGUAGGAGCCUUUGAAACGUGAGCGCUAGCUUACGUGGAGGCGCUGGUGGGAUACUACCCUAGCUGUGUUGGCUUUCUAACCCGCACCACUUAUCGUGGUGGGAGACAGUGUCAGGCGGGCAGUUUGACUGGGGCGGUCGCCUCCUAAAAGGUAACGGAGGCGCUCAAAGGUUCCCUCAGAAUGGUUGGAAAUCAUUCAUAGAGUGUAAAGGCAUAAGGGAGCUUGACUGCGAGACCUACAAGUCGAGCAGGGUCGAAAGACGGACUUAGUGAUCCGGUGGUUCCGCAUGGAAGGGCCAUCGCUCAACGGAUAAAAGCUACCCCGGGGAUAACAGGCUUAUCUCCCCCAAGAGUUCACAUCGACGGGGAGGUUUGGCACCUCGAUGUCGGCUCAUCGCAUCCUGGGGCUGUAGUCGGUCCCAAGGGUUGGGCUGUUCGCCCAUUAAAGCGGUACGCGAGCUGGGUUCAGAACGUCGUGAGACAGUUCGGUCCCUAUCCGUCGUGGGCGUAGGAAAUUUGAGAGGAGCUGUCCUUAGUACGAGAGGACCGGGAUGGACAUACCUCUGGUGUACCAGUUGUCGUGCCAACGGCAUAGCUGGGUAGCUAUGUGUGGACGGGAUAAGUGCUGAAAGCAUCUAAGCAUGAAGCCCCCCUCAAGAUGAGAUUUCCCAACUUCGGUUAU